CGGUUUUAACGAAUUCGAAGCAAAAAUUUGUUGCGUGACGCUGCUCGAGCAAACGGUUUGUCGCGAAGCGUGACGAUUUUUCAUUUUUUCAACAUAACAUAGCUUAAAAUUCAGAUGGCAUAUGGAAAAAGUUCCUGUACAGAAGUUUCACGUCUUUGUAUGAAUUUUCUAAAAAUAAUUUUGUGCUAUUUUUGUGCAUCGUUAAAGUAUAGUUUUGAUGAAAAAUCUUCGAGAAUCUUCUGUAACAAAAUAGUGCGAUAAUCGAAUUGGCUCAAAUUUUUACAUAACAUAUCCUCUAAUACCAAUGAUUGUAUAAGUUUGGUAGUGGGCGGAAAAGUAGUUCAAAAGUUACGAGUAAUAGUUUACAUAGAACUGUGAAAUUUCUCAUCCAUACGUACUAUAAUGUGACGGUAUGAAUGUUGAAAUUUAUACACUCGGUAUUACGAUACGUAACACAAUCGUUGAAUUCUUACCUUGGAUGAAUAUGUUUAAAAAAUAUUGUCCGGCAGUACGAAACUCACAUAUCAUGUCAGGAAUCGUAAUAAAUGAUGACUGAGGUUAUAAACAACACGCGUAACAAUUGAAGAUCGCGCUCGAGUGUGCAGCGGUGCCACACGCAGGGUAAGCAAAUAGCUAGCCGCAUUGCGAAGUUUGAACCGAAUUCUCACCACUAUGUGAAUAUCUGUUGAUAUAUCUUCGAAACAACUGCAGGAGGCGAAAAAAUAUUGAUUAUUUUCGUUUCUGCUGGGUUUCAUGAUACCGCAUCUUUUUUUCUUGAAAUACUACAUUCAGAAACAAAAUCUUCUCUUAAGACAAAAUGGUCUUCUCGUUGCAACUACGGAGGGUAGAGAAAGCAAGGCUUUACUGUUUGAAGAACCCAUAAAACGUUCUGGACGUUCAUAAGUGUCACCUUGGGUGGGCGUACUUCAUCUUCAAAUGAUUUGGUCAAUCGCAAAACGGAUACUUCAGACUGAUCAAUGGGAAAACUAGUCUUUAAGAAGCAUUUAGAGCACUGGAAUAUAAUAAUAUUGGAACGAUCACUCGCAUGGCUAGCUGUACCGCUGGCUUUUCGAAGAAAGAGAGAGAGAAAGAGAGAAAUAGCUUGGAGGCGAAGUGCUGUCUCUCUCGCAUCAGUA